GGAGAUGUAGCUCAGCAGUAGAGCAUUUGCCUAGCAAGUAAGAGGCCCAGAGUUCUAUCUUCA
rnacentral:tRNA from 1 species